GAGAGCCGUAUGCGGGGAAACUUGCACGUACGGUUCGUAGGGGGAGGUCGGAAAAAGUGGUAGCAAUACCAACUCGUCCGUCUUCUACCCGAC
rnacentral:ncRNA from 1 species